rnacentral:tRNA from 1 species
UGUACCCUUAGCUCAGUUGGUCAGAGCAGACGGCUCAUAACCGUCCGGUCGUAGGUUCGAGUCCUACAGGGUACAUUAA